GGGCCCGCACAAGCGGCGGAGCAUGCGGAUUAAUUCGAUGCAACGCGAAGAACCUUACCUGGGCUUGACAUGUUCCCGGCGACGGCGGAGACGUCGUUUCCCUUCGGGGCGGGUUCACAGGUGGUGCAUGGUCGUCGUCAGCUCGUGUCGUGAGAUGUUGGGUCAAGUCCCGCAACGAGCGCAACCCUCGCCCCGUGUUGCCAGCGCGUCAUGGCGGGAACUCACGGGGGACCGCCGGGGUUAACCCGGAGGAAGGUGGGG
rnacentral:rRNA from 1 species